rnacentral:rRNA from 1 species
UACGUAGGCAGCAAGCGUUGUUCGGAGUUACUGGGCGUAAAGGGUGUGUAGGCGGUUCCUUAAGUUUGCUGUGAAAUCUCCCGGCUUAACCGGGAGGGUGCGGUGAAUACUGAGGGACUAGAGUACGGGAGAGGAAAGUGGAAUUCCUGGUGUAGCGGUGAAAUGCGUAGAUAUCAAGAGGAACACCGGUGGUGUAGACGGCUUUCUGGACCGACACUGACGCUGAGGCGCGAAAGCUAGGGGAGCAAACGGG